UCCCUUCUCCGCGGGGCGCGCGGGAGAGGGGCGUUCGCAGCCCCCCAAAAGUGCAGGCCUCGCAGUAGCUUGGCUUCACAUCGGGACCCAAAAAUACAUCCACCACCGGUUCUGCGCCCUGGGACACUGCUGGGCCAUCCCGCCCCGUGGAAGAAAGGCGGCAUCUCCAUCCUAUUUUUUAGAUGCUGCUAUUCCGACCACUCAGGCUCUUUCGCAAAGCCCAGCGCUGUCCAGUCCACUCACAGGGCCUUGUCCUGGCUUUGAGUCCAAGCUCCGCCCAGCAGGCUGUGCGCCCUUGGGCAAGUCACUUUCCUCCUCCGUACCUGUUUCUAUUAUAAAAUUAUAAAAUGCAAAAACACGGCUGACAUGGGAACGUUGUGUCAGGGGUGGCAUUUAAGCAAGGCGGCCCUGAAGUGGAAGUCCCCUGAAGGCAAGGAGAUGCCAUGUUUUUGACCCAACUAAGUGCCUAAUGCUUGCAAGAAACGCUAUCUAAUGCGCUAAGCUAUCUAAUGCGCUAAGUGCCAGUCGGAGCAACGUGCUGCGUUCUUCUCGUUGAGGUCACACAAAAAUGACCUAUGGGGUAGGCGGUAUUGAGUUCGUUUUGCUCAGUCAGAGAUGAGAGGACCAACAGGGCCUGCUUUAGAGGUCAAGUCUUCCUCCAUUAAGUAGGGCCAAGUUAUUUCCGUUUAAAUGGAAAUGACUCUACUCCCUCUGCCAGGGGUCCAAGACAUGGACCGCAGAAGGCCUGAAAUCUCUCCCUAGGUAUUUAUUUGUAACCAGAAUUUGGGGUUGGAUUAUUUGCCUUCCAGCAGGCACAUUCUACCUAUCAGAUCUUAAAGCUCAAGCAGUGUCUUUAACGUUCCAUACAGUCCGUGGUGAGUGAUCGAUAAAUGUUAAAUAAUUGGCAUACAAAGCUCAUGGAUACAGAAUGCAAAAACCUUGGGACUUUUCCCCAAAACCCAGAAAUUCAUCUAAUCCUUCCCCUCCAAACCUGAUUUGAGUUCAGGUCAAUUCAUACACAUCUCAAUUGCACAGGCUUAAAGGGAGAGUAAUAAUGUUUGAUGACCAGCUCCCAGAAGAGAGAAAAAAACGCACAGCAAAAACCCUGAUUUGUAGUGUUGGCUGAUUUUGAUGGCGUAUAAAUACGCUCACCAUGGCCAAUUUCCUCCUACCACUGUGAUGUUACUGAACAUAGGAUCAAAGAAGUACCAGGGUCUAGUGCACUGCAAAGCAUGUCCCAUGGGCCACAGGCUGUGAUAAGCACAUGCAUUUUCUCAUUUAACCCUCAUAAAAUACAAGGUAGGUACUCAUAUCCUCAUUUCAUAGAUAAACUCAAUUUUUUUCUUUUUUUCAGUGAAAGUAGCAAAGCCAAAGUUCUAAACCAGGCUGAUGCAUGGAAAAGCCUCUGCCCUAACAGUUUUCCCAUUUUGUGACAUGACUUACAGUAAGAUGUACAUUGGACAUCCAGACCUGGUACGUUCCUAGGCACAAAAAGAUACCCUUAUUGAGUACAAUGCGACCCUUAUUCUUCUAUUUUUUUCUUUAAAUGCAGGUGCACUCCACUAAAAUGAGUUCGUGACCCACAAAUGAGAUGAAACAGUCUGAGAAACACUAUGCUGAGGGUUGCUGCUACACAAAGCCUGCUCACAGGCAGCUAAAUGGAAGGAGACCAGGAAGACUCGUCUACAUUUUGCUGCUCACAAGUGAGAAGGAAUUUACUACCCAUCUCAAGAGCACAGAUUAUGCGUCACCGCUGUCUUAAAUGUUUUACUUCUACUUACGCCUCACGGUAAAGCCUAACAGGGGACAUACCUCCCUUCGGCAAGUCCACAGAGGUCGCCGGCUUCUCCGGCUUGGGGGCAGGAGGCUGUCUCGGUUUCUUCGUUUGAGGUGGGAGUGAAGACUGGCGUUUGGGGGCCAUGCCGUGAGGAAAAGUCGGAGAGCCAGACCCAGAGGAAGAUGCGCGCCUGGAAGAAGCUCGGAGAACUGAGACUGCCCCAGAAAACUUAAACGUGACCUUUCCUCACAUCAGCCUGGAACAUUCUUCGGUCCCCCCAAACCCCACUGCUGUGUCUGGCUAACUCCUUCCCAACCUCCAGGUCUCAGCUUGGAGGGAUAAAUGAAUAUUGAAAUAAAAGAUUCUCAAUCAAGAAUUACAGAAGAAGAGAGGAAAGCAGGUACCUUUGAGAGGAUUCGGAGUAGCCAUUCAUUCUUCGCUCAUUUCACAAAAGGACAGAAAGUUAGGAGUUUGAAGAACCUAUAGAAAGCAUCUGAUCUGGGAGUCACAAACCCCAAUGCCUUUUGAGCCCUGUCAGGCAAGCAAGUGGAAUUUACAACAGCAAGUGGAAGGCAAGUUGGUUCAACCACAACCUUGAAAUCAGCCUUGAAACUGCCUUCAAGAGACUUAAUCUUGUUAACUGCGCUGCAGUCCAAUCCCAGCCUUGCUUUCUCCCACCUCCAUGUCAUCUUCUUUGUAUCCCCUUCUUAAUUUCAAAUGCAUA